AUUGAACGCUGGCGGCAUGCCUUACACAUGCAAGUCGAACGGUAACAGGUCUUCGGAUGCUGACGAGUGGCGAACGGGUGAGUAAUACAUCGGAACGUGCCUAGUAGUGGGGGAUAACUACUCGAAAGAGUGGCUAAUACCGCAUGAGAUCUACGGAUGAAAGUAGGGGAUCGCAAGACCUUGUGCUACUAGAGCGGCCGAUGGCAGAUUAGGUAGUGGGUGGGAUAAAAGCUUACCAAGCCGACAAGCUGUAGCUGGUCUGAGAGGACGAUCAGACACACUGGGACUGAGACACGGCCCAGACUCCUACGGGAGGCAGCAGUGGGGAAUUUUGGACAAUGGGCGCAAGCCUGAUCCAGCAAUGCCGCGUGCAGGAUGAAGGCCUUCGGGUUGUAAACUGCUUUUGUACGGAACGAAAAGCCCUGGGUUAAUACCCUGGAGUCAUGACGGUACCGUAAGAAUAAGCACCGGCUAACUACGUGCCAGCCGCCGCCGUAAAAC
rnacentral:rRNA from 1 species